AACGGUCUAUACCUGCGGUACCUGCGGAAGGAUCAUUAUUGAAAUCCUUAGGAUGUUGCUGGCCCUCUGGGCAUGUGCACUCCGCCUUUUCAAUUCACCUGUGCACUCAUUGUAGGCCAGACUUGACAAAAGUCUGUGUCUAUGUUUUUAUAACACGCCAAAAGUUUAAUAGAAUGUCUUUAUGAGACCUUUGAUGGUCGAUAUAAAAUUAAUACAACUUUCAACAAUGGAUCUCUAGAU
rnacentral:misc_RNA from 1 species